GCGAGUAUGGCCCUCACGGGUCUAAUUCCACCAUAAACACCUUUGUGAACCAGUCAGGGGGACUCGGCCGUGAAAGCCCAGGCGAUUAGCGGAAGGGCCCUCCUUUGCAAACCCGUUUAGAAGUGCUUGAAAGUACUUUUGUAUAAUCUAGUA
rnacentral:misc_RNA from 1 species